rnacentral:misc_RNA from 1 species
GUUAAAUCCCGGUUCGACCUGGGUUGAACCUUAAAUCCUUAACUUUCUGGCUUUACCGGUUCAAUGACCAGGUUAGUUUUGAAAACCUUGGUUUUUAACUUUACAAUAGAUUGUGAAGCUGCCAUCUGGUUGAUUCUCCUACCUUCUUUAUUUUCUUUUUCAAGAACAUGUAUCUUCAUUUUCUGUUUUCGAAAUUGGGGAUGAUCCGUUAUAUGGAAACUACACAAACUGGCUGAUCAUGCACUUGAUUUUACAAUUAAUAGAAACUAUUAGAUUGUGAGUUCUCUGUGUUGGUGCUGGAUUGCUUAUAAUGUUCUUGUCAAUCCAAUUUCCCCCUUCUAUGAAGUUCAAAUUUUAAAAUUUAAAUUGCUAUAAAGUCUAAUAGGGUAUUUGCUUUGAACUCUUACACUAUGUUUUGAUCAUGGUUUGUUAUGGUUUCAUAUUGUAUGAUAUGGUUACUGUACAUGUUUGGGAAGAUUGUUUGUAA